rnacentral:rRNA from 1 species
UGGGGGAUAUUGCACAAUGGGCGAAAGCCUGAUGCAGCGACGCCGCGUGGGGGAUGAAGGCCUUCGGGUUGUAAACUUCUUUUGCUCUGAACAAGGCAUGCUAAUGGGUGUGUUGAGUGUAGGGGUUGAUUAGCGCCGGCUAACUACGUGCCAGCAGCCGCGGUAAUACGUAGGGCGCGAGCGUUGUCCGGAAUUAUUGGGCGUAAAGGGCUUGUAGGUGGCUGGUUGCGUCUGUCGUGAAAGCUCAUGGCUUAACUGUGGGUUUGCGGUGGGUACGGGCUGGCUUGAGUGCAGUAGGGGAGGCUGGAAUUCCUGGUGUAGCGGUGGAAUGCGCGGAUAUCAGGAGGAAUACCGGUGGCGAAGGCGGGUCUCUGGGCUGUUACUGACACUGAGGAGCGAAAGCAUGGGGAGCGAACAGG